ensembl:snRNA U6 U6 spliceosomal RNA
GUGCUCACUUCAGCGGCACGUCUACUAAAAUUGGAACGACGUGGAGAAGAUUGGCACAGCCCCUGCACAAGAAUGACACGAAGCUCCCUGAGAUUCGCUCUGAGGCA